ACGGCCAUACCUAGGCGAAACACCAGUUCCCGUCCGAUCACUGCAGUUAAACGUCUGAGGGCCUCGUUAGUACUAUGGUUGGAGACAACAUGGGAAUCCGGGGUGCUGUAGGCU